rnacentral:rRNA from 1 species
UGGCGGACGGGUGAGUAAUGCUUAGGAAUCUGCCUAUUAGUGGGGGACAACAUCUCGAAAGGGAUGCUAAUACCGCAUACGUCCUACGGGAGAAAGCAGGGGACCUUCGGGCCUUGCGCUAAUAGAUGAGCCUAAGUCGGAUUAGCUAGUUGGUGGGGUAAAGGCCUACCAAGGCGACGAUCUGUAGCGGGUCUGAGAGGAUGAUCCGCCACACUGGGACUGAGACACGGCCCAGACUCCUACGGGAGGCAGCAGUGGGGAAUAUUGGACAAUGGGGGGAACCCUGAUCCAGCCAUGCCGCGUGUGUGAAGAAGGCCUUUUGGUUGUAAAGCACUUUAAGCGAGGAGGAGGCUACCGAGAUUAAUACUUUUGGAUAGUGGACGUUACUCGCAGAAUAAGCACCGGCUAACUCUGUGCCAGCAGCCGCGGUAAUACAGAGGGUGCAAGCGUUAAUCGGAUUUACUGGGCGUAAAGCGCGCGUAGGUGGCCAAUUAAGUCAAAUGUGAAAUCCCCGAGCUUAACUUGGGAAUUGCAUUCGAUACUGGUUGGCUAGAGUAUGGGAGAGGAUGGUAGAAUUCCAGGUGUAGCGGUGAAAUGCGUAGAGAUCUGGAGGAAUACCGAUGGCGAAGGCAGCCAUCUGGCCUAAUACUGACACUGAGGUGCGAAAGCAUGGGGAGCAAACAGGAUUAGAUACCCUGGUAGUCCAUGCCGUAAACGAUGUCUACUAGCCGUUGGGGCCUUUGAGGCUUUAGUGGCGCAGCUAACGCGAUAAGUAGACCGCCUG